CAGUAGCCGCGGGAAUACGUAGGUGGCAAGCGUUGUCCGGAAUUAUUGGGCGUAAAGGGCUCGCAGGCGGUUUCUUAAGUCUGAUGCGAAAGCCCCCGGCUCAACCGGGGAGGGUCAUUGGAAACUGGGAAACUUGAGUGCAAAAGAGGAGAGUGGAAUUCCACGUGUAGCGGUGAAAUGCGUAGAGAUGUGGAGGAACACCAGCGGCGAAGGCGACUCUCUGGUCUGUAACUGACGCUGAGGAGCGAAAGCGUGGGGAGCGAACAGGAUUAGAUACCCCGGUAGUCCCUGUCUCUUAUAC
rnacentral:rRNA from 1 species